AUGAAGAAGAUGAAGAAGAUGAAGGAGAUAGUGUUUGAUAUGAAGGAGAUAGAGAUGGAUAUGAAGGAGAUAGAGAUGGAGGUGAAGGAGAUGAAGGAGAUGAACGAGAUAAAGAGGGCUACGCAGAAGCAGGCUGGGGCUGUAACAUGGGUCUAUUGGGACAUCAAGAUGUGCCCGGUUCCGGAUGGCUUUCAUCCUCGUCUUGUCCGUCCGAGUAUUAAGCGGUUAUUGGAGAAGAAUGGCUACGGUGGUGGUCCUCUCAACGUCAUUGCCUAUGGAAAACUAGCGGACGUCCCUCUUGAAACCCUGAGAGAGGUCUUUUCCAGUGGAAUCGAUCUUAAACUUCUCCCCCACGGUAACCUUUCAGGUUACAUUGAUUUGUCAUAUCCAGCUAAUAUUAUGGUCAUAUCCGAUCCAAAAGCCUGCCCUUAUUCAACUUCCGGUCUACAAGCACUCGGCAAAAACCCUAUCCAGCCAUUUCCAUAUCAUUCUCUUUCCACCUUACUUAUGAAACUUCCGGUCUACAAGCACAUCAUGAACUGCUGAUUAGGAGGUCUCCUGCUCCACGUGUUGUUACUCCCAUGAAACAUGUAAAUCCUUCCUUUAUUGCAAGAGGAGGUUUGGGACCUGUGACAAUGGUCUAUUGGGACAUCAAUUCGUGUCCGGUUCCCCCUGGCUGUGAUGCUAGUCUGGUCGGUCCGUGCAUCAAGCGGUUCUUGAAGAAAGAAGGCUGCUCUGGUCCUCUCUCCAUCACUGCCAUUGGAAGACUAACAGAAGUCCCUAAUGACAUUCUGGAAGGAGUCUAUUCCAGUGGAAUCGCUCUUAAUAACAUUUUCUACGGGUUUUUUGACACUUUGCAUGGUCUUCUUUCUGGGUUUAUGGAUAGCAAUCCACCUCCAGCUAAUUUUAUGGUCAUAUCCGAUGCAAAAUCCUUGGGCACACCCUUCCCUUCUAUGAUUGCUUCUGGGCUAAAAUCGAGGGGAUACAACGUUCUUCAGCCGGUUCCAUGGGAUUCUCUUAGCUUGUUUUCUCUUGAGGAUGAUAAGUGCGUUGAUGAAACGAGUGAGUCUGCCUUCUGGAUUUGCUCAAUAUGCGACAAGGAUCUACCUUACCAAGGCUUUGAAAAUUUCAACACUCAUGUUACUAGUAGGCGACAUAAACGCGAGUUGUUGGACUAUUUGCCUGCGGAUCAUCGUUUUACUAGACGUGAAGAAAAAGAAGAAGAAGAAUAAAGCAACACUCGUAUGAUUUGAAGGCCCAUGGUGUGGGUUUAACUAGUAUGAUUAUUUUAAAUCUGAAUUUGACCUUAAAACGAAAACGAAACUCGACCGGUUUGAUUGUAUGUGUAGUAUAAACUGCAGUCUUUUUAUCUUUUUUGGAUAUAUUUUGAAGGAAAAAAGAUGGCUAGCUACACGAAGUAUUGGUGAAUACAUGGUCACACAUGCCAAGUAUACUAUUGUAUAUUCAAUUACACAAAGUAUAUGUAUUACAUGACCACAUGCAUGAACUAUAUGACGUUAUGUGGUCAACAUCAUAGACAUAUAAUCCAGUACACCGGUCAAUUGAUUCCGGCAAAGACCGGCGUUGACUCCA